CUGCUGUCGGUUUUCUUCUAGGGACACAAUUUGUGUGUCUUUGCUUCUGUGUUCGCUUCCUUUUUAAUCUUUCCCGUCUUUCACCUUAAUUCUAAGUGAUCUCCCGCACCGUGUCGGCUAGACCGUUCCGAGAGAGGAUGCUCGCCUGCCUGCACCGAGGAGAGGUGCGGACGGGCUCCGCGAUGCCGCGACAGGGCGCUUCCUGGACGCUCACUACCAUCUGGAAGGCUUUCUGGUUAAAAAGAAGUUUAAGGAGACAGAGACAGAAGAUGAGCAGGAAUCCCAAACAGACGGUUUUUGCUAAGUUGCCCAGGUUGGCCUUGAACUUGCCAAGCCUGUCCUCAACUUGAGAUGUUCCUGCCUCGGCCUCCCAAGUAGCUGGGAUUAUAGGCACACCCCACCACUACCUGGCUAAAGUGCAAUUGUUAUCACACAUAAAAAUUUCAGUUGAUAACAAAGAAUUCAAGGGCAGUCAUUGCUUAAUCAUAAAUGCUAAUUCUCUCUCUCUCUGACCCUCUGAACUCUCCUACUCCCAUUCAGCACCACCCAGUGGGCAAAGGUCUGGUAUAGACUCAGGGAAAUAGAAUUCAAGUCUUAGCUCGGAUUCUCUAACUGUGGAACCUUGAGUAAAGUACUUAACCUCCUGAAUUCAGUUUCCCCUCAUCUGACAAGGGGCAGCGGCAGGACCAACUGCAUGUUGGAAUGAUCCGUGGCAGCUUUCCCUCCCUUUCCCCUCCCUUCCCCUUUCUCCUCCCCAUCCCAUGGCGGCCAAGGGCCAGGACUUUUCACCACCUGGCUAAAGAGACUUGCCCUUAAACCGGGCCCCUAAACUCCGCUGAGCCUCCUACCUCUAGUGACCUAUAUAGGGUCCUUCUACCUCUAGUGACCUGUAUAGGUAUUGUUUCGCCUUGCUUACCCUUUCUGGAUCAGUGAACUUUGCCUGCCUGGAGCGCCACUGCCCCCCACCCUUCUCAAUAAAACUCCUUUUGGUGCCUUA